ensembl:lncRNA
UUCCAUGUGUGCCAAUAUACUACACACACACACACACACACACAUGCAGAGACCACGUGCCUGUUUCGGUCCCGUGUCCCAGCAUGCCUUGCGACGGAGUGGACGCUGCCUGCUGGCCCGGUCCGUCUGCUGGGCCCCCUGAGAGAGCUGCGCAUCCAGGCCCCCUGGUCGCAGACCGGGUCCACGAGGACCCUGUGGUGGAGCUCCACAUCUGGACUACUUUGAAUUCUCUUAAACAAACUUUAAAAUGUGAAUAAAUAGCUGCUUGUUUAGGAUUUAGAAGUAAGAAACAGACGUGUUUGAGGGGGAGAUCAGGAGAGAAUCAAAGGACACAAGGGAAGAAGAGAAGAAGUAUAAAACCAAAAACGAAGAGAAGGAAAUCCCUUAGUUAGACGAGGAUCCAUCGUUCUGUUUGGUUUAAACCUCAUAACUGAUAGCUUGCUCAUUUAUUUAAAUAAUGAUAUUUAUUUAUUCUGAUUCCCAGUCGAUAAGAAGUGCAAAAUGACAAAAUAGUUCUUUUGGGUCAUUUCUGUGUCGGUCAGGACUGAAACAAUGACAACAGAAAUUCAAUAAGGAUCUUUUUUAUGAUAAGAUUUAAGGAUAUUUGUUGAAGUUUUGCUUUCCACAGUUCUUCUUCUCCCUCUGUGGACCAAACGCUGCACAUUUAAAGCGUCAGAUUCAAAUAUCUUUAAUAUCGUCUCGCCACAACGAGCAGGAGUCACUGACAUAUUCAUUUUUACAAAUGUUUCGUGUAUCUGUAUUCUCUGAAUCUCACAGGGAGCGUCUUUAAUCUGAAAAUCUUUUGGAGGACCAUCUAAAGCGUCUUUGUUUUUCCUCCCCACAACCUUUUCAAAUGGACCAACGCAAGUGUGGCUGAGACGAGGACAUCAGAGGACACAGUCAAACCAAUCAGAAGAAGACAACGGGCGGCGACGCCGUCUCCUCUAAGAGUCUGGCUAAUCAGAAAGGACCUCGGCGUGGCCCGAAAGCGCUCCAACACAACUUAGCAUAACAGUUAAUAAUACAUAGAGCCAUCAGAGGGGAAAUUGUAUUCUUUCUGCCGGCCGGAGGAAUGAAUAACUCCAACUGAAGUGCGACUCAGAUCAUCUGAUUGACAUUUAACCCCGUCAUCUUGAAGAGCUGAGCGUUAAUCAAUAAAUCAGUGACACGGCAUCAGAUCCGGGCGUGUUUUUUAAUUGCCAGGGCGUGCAUUAUUCAUCCGUCGGAAGGAGACGGCCGCUGAGCGGACUCUUGGCGUUGAUUACCGAGCUAAAGGCCGAUCACAGUGAAUCAGAGAUGGUUCCUCUCCGAGGAGCCGAGGAUAACGUGCCGUGAUGCUGCUUUGUUAUGUUUUUGAGGGGGGGGGAGUACUCAUUUUCUCACAGUCUAUAUACAAUCAGAGGAGUCUCCCCCUGGUGGACAGUAGAGGCAAUGUUGGUUUAAGGCUCUUCAGUGGUGGUUUGACCUCCUGCCUUGACCUUUACCCGAAAGCGAGGAGACGCAGUGAUGCUCCUCGGCGAAGUGACGCGAACAAGAGUCUCUGGCGGCUUCAACAGCCUUCUGGGUAUAAAGUAUGAAUAAUGGAACUCUGCUCAGUGAACUCUCGGUGCGCAGGUGUCCUCUGCAGGUACGCGGGUGUCCUCUGCAGGUACGCACGUGUCCUCUGCAGGUGCGCAGGUGUCCUCUGCAGGGCACAGGUGUCCUCUGCAGGUGCCCAGGUGUCCUCUGCAGGUGCCCAGGUGUCCUCUGCAGGUGCGCAGGUGUCCUCUGCAGGUGCCCAGGUGUCCUCUGCAGGUGCGCAGGUGUCCUCUGCAGGUACGCAGGUGUCCUCCGCAGGUGCGCAGGUGUCCUCUGCAGGUGCGCAGGUGUCCUCUGCAGGCCCCGCCCCUCCCCGCCGCUGAAAUGUUUACAUGAGUUCAUAGAUUUGUUUUUUGCAGCGAUUCGCCGGCCCAUUAAAAAAGAAUAAGCGCUUAUGACAUAUUCAAAGAGGGCAUGUCUGGAGUACAAAGUCUAGGGGAGGCUAUGAUUCAUUAAUGGAGCCAUGAAUACAUAACCCUCUGUUGUACGAUAUCAUACUCACUGUUGAAUUCAUGGGGACAUUCACAUAUUUUUCCUGUGCAAAGAUUCGAGACACCAUUACAAAGGGUAUAUGAGCGAGAUUGAGGAGCUUUCUAAACAAUUCAUAAGGCCACAGCGGAGCUUUCACAGCUACGCCGGGCUUCAAGUGUUGAGAUUCUGUUUCACGUUCAUGUUUUACUUUUAAUAAUUAAGACGCCCAUGAAAAGGAUUUUAUGGGUGAACGAUAAACAAGCGCUAACACAACUCUUAAUUCAUCGUUUGCCCUUCGUGUUAUUUAUUACCAAUCAUUACUCAUUUGAGGAAAGGUACCUGCAGGCUCAUGUUCACGCGUUCAUUCUGCAGCCCGCCGAGUCGUUCCCGCCGCAACGUCCACACGGAGGACUUUGUUGUUGUAGCACAAGAACUCCUCCAUCCAUAAAUCAUCACAUUAGUUAAGUGACCUUUUGCAAAACUGGCAACCUGAGAGGAGAAACCUGACGAACAGCAUUUAAAGUUGAUGAAAUCAAUGGAGUGAAUUUACAUUUCGUCCUUGAUAUGUUUGUAGUAUAAACCGAUUUGUCAAAUGUAACCUGGGUUGAUUUAUUAUGUUUCCGUCACAUUACGUAUUCAUUUAACACAACUCAUCAGUUUCACAUGAUUUCGUACUGGAAAAUAAUUUUUUAACACACGUAAAUAUCUGCAGUCUUUUCAAAAUAAAGAUUGUCGUGUGUUUGAGUUCAUUGUGUCGUGGACUUGGAGGGUUCAUGGGGUUAAUGGACUUUUUUUCCUUCGGAUUCUGAAAAGACUGAAAAGAACGUAACACGUGAUGAGGAACCUUCAAAGCAAAACUCACAAAAAGUUCCCAAAACAUCCACAAACUGCUUGAGGAAAAAGUCACCGGAGCCGCCGAAUGUUACAGGGACCAUGUAAUUAAUACUCAUUGGUCUAACACAAUAAUUCCGUGUGUUCUUGGUUCGAGCUUAGUUCAGAAGGAGCUUCAGACCUCAAAGAGCGCAGAGACGUUUUGUUGAGCUUUAAUAACUUUGUCUCGUUGUCUCUCUCUGUCUCUGUCCGUCUGUCUGUCCUCCUUCGCCUAAUUGCCGCGAACUCUCUGCUCGCUUCUCUCUGUCUCUCGCAGAAAAGAAAGAAGAGAGAAGCUUAUGUUUGUAUCUGGCUUUUAUCUAUAUUUUAAGCCACACACGAGGUGUAGGUGCGGCCUGGAGCUUGUUACACGGGCCCACGGCUGCAUAAUUCACGAGGAGGAGCGACUAAAUAAAAGAUCUCUGCCCGGACGGAGGAGCGCGCGCCACCUGCGUGCAGGUGUGUGUCUGUUUGGGCUUUUCCUCUGAUCCGCGAUCAAUACGGGUGUGUACGACACACACACUCACAUUCCUGUUGUGUCUCUCUUUACGCUGAGGAGACCCUCUCAGGGCCGUGGAUCUGCCCCUCCUCCUCCUCCUCCUCCUCCUCUUCCUCCUCUUCCUCACACUUUCCCACAAACUAAUCGAGUAGUUUCCUCUGAAGGUUGAGACUCAUUCUGAAGAGGCUGGAAAGUCGCACAUGUUGCUGCACAAAAUGCACAAAACAAAAUUAGAAGUAACUUUUACGAUCCGCUGCUGGGUUUUUUUUUUCACCUGUUCAGUGUUUCCGGUUUUAUUCUGGUACCGACCCCCUGAUUGACCUCCUCUGAUUGUCGUCUCCAGUCCCUCAUUGUCUCCAAGCUUCCGGGUUGCGUCCUUAAACGCUCGAGGAGUCUUUAUUAGCGUCACAUCUGUCUCCUGACAGCUUUGGGCCUCUUGGCUGUGUAAUAUUUUGGAUAAUAAAUAAAUAAAUAAAACUCGUCCUGUUGCCUCCUCAUACGUCCAUCUGCGUUUUGGUCCAAACCUCUGAUUCCCCCGCGGGGCCAGUGUGACUAAUGAACCUCAUCAGCAUCAGUGUCUUCCAGUCGGUCAGAUAUGCUUCUCCAACUCCUUCUACAAUAAAAAUAAAACCUGUAUUUUAAACCUUUGAAAUGAUUGAAUCAGUAAAAAUAAACUUCUCUCUUCAACUGUAUCAGGAUUAUCUCCUUAAGGGACCAUUUCCAUCUGUUCUCUUCACAGUGGAAGCAGUUUUAUUCCAGCUUAGUGAUAACUGUCCAUACUGCAGAUCAGGGCUGAUUUUAACAGAUUAAAUAGUAAAACUGUUGGAAACUGGGCAACAGGCACGAAACUGCAUUCGGCGGAUUGCAGCUGCAAAUCGGACGGCGGAGACGAAGAUGCACGAGGGUGACUUUCUUUCUUUCUUUCUGCCAAGCCUCUCUCCUCAUCUUCUCCUCCUCGCCUCAUUUCUCUCUCCGCAGCAACAGCACACGGAAUCCUCUCAUCGUCUUUGUCUCGUCCGUCAUGUUUUUCUCCGUCCUCGUGAGACGCUCGGGAGCGAUGAAGAGCCACGUGGCUGCAGCUGCUGCAUUUCUGAAUGGGGGCUGUGGGAAGAGAGGGUAGAAGGCCGGGUCAGAAGGGACGGAGGCAGACGGAGGGGGUGGGGGGGGAGGGGGGGUGAGUUCAGGGAAGACGGCGUGUGAGACGCGUGGAGCAGCCGUGGCGUGGGAGAAGGCCUGACGCCUGACGGACGCCCGGGAGGAGGAGGCUGCGUGCGGGUUGAUCCCUCUAAAAGCCUCGGCGCUUCAGCGAGCUCAAAUUAUUGCGAGCGUACGAGGAACAAGGGCUCCGCUUCGGGGGGGGGGGGGCGAGCCACCCAGGAGACCGACUCGCCUCGGGGCGACUCUUCCAGAAGAAAGUAACAUGGGAGAAAAAUAAUAGGAGGUGGGAGUACAAGGGGAGGAGGGGUUGGAGGGGAGAAAGUGUUGAGUCGUGGGGGGUUUUCGGAGCGGUCGCUGAGGGAAGUUGAGGGCAUUUUUAUUCCCGGCUCUCACUUCUCCGAGGCCUUUCAAGCUGCUCUGCUCUCCUCACUCAGACCGGUCUCUUCUCACUCCAUCACCUCCCCCCCCUCACUCCCCGCCAUGCUCUGCUCUGCUGUUUUCUCCCGACAACGCCAUCUGGAGACAUCAGUUAACAUGGUAACAAAGCUCUUUAGGCAGACGGCUUGUUGCUUGGACGUGGCGAAGGGCUCCCUCCCUCCUCCAGGCGUCUUUUUCAUCCUCCUUACCUUCCUCUCUCUCUCUCUCCCCCUUUGUGUGUCCAUCCAUGAUUCAUCGGGCUCCACAGGCCAGUUCACCGAUGAUGAGGCCUUCGUUUGCGUCUCCAUCUUGUGUCCACCUUCUCCACCAGGCUCCUAAACCUUCUCUGAGUUCAUUUGGGACCUUUAAACCUGCCUCUGGGUAUCAGGCCAAAUGUGAAAAUUGGGCAAACUGGGGAAAAUGAUUUCACCAUUAACUCUACAUGCAUUGUAGAAACAGUCUCAUCUGUCAGGAGGAGGAAACCGUCACAAGCAUCCCGCUCAUUCCUGCUCAUUGCCUCACUGGAGAGACACGCUGGGUUGCUUUGGAAUGAAACGGACGUCAUUCUUUUUAUCGAUGGCACACGAUCGACUGGUUGAUUGCGAUCGACCUAUUGGGCUCCCCUGCAGUGGAGGAUCUUCCCUACAACUGUUGCAUCAAAGGCGGAUGCACACUAGAUUUAUUCUGCAGCACCAAGAUUUCCCUUCAUCAGACAUUAAUGGCCCCCGCGCCAAAACAGGAAAAGGCCCAAAUCUGGAGUCCGCAAAGCGGUGCGGGUCACCGCCCCGGAGCGCACACGCUCCCUCGAGAGGAAGCUUUUCCACCCGCUCACACUUUUCUGCGCUUCUCAUAAGACACGUGCACGGGCCUGUUUUUUUCAUGCGCGCGGGCCUCUAAACUAAUUAAACACUCUGGGAUUCUCGGACAAGAUAAAUGUUGCAUGGCUUCAUAAAAUGGAGAAACGGAUGCGUUCCUUCUGGUGAUUUGUCCCACGAUGGGACGUCUGGUGCUACUCGAAGCUCCGCUUCAAUCUUGCCUCUCGCGACCCUUUAUGCAGGAAUAACAUCUCUGGCUCCCCUUUCGGAGAACGGGAGAUUAAAAUCCCCUGCAACUAUAACAAAGAGCAACUUUGUUUCUCUUAAUCCCUCCUGCAGCAUCUCUUCGUGCACAUCUCAAACCACACUCGUAAAACCUUUACAUAUCCCCCAGAGCCUCGUGCCUACAGUCCCGCCUGUUAGCCCAGGACCUCACGCUGCACUCGCCCCCUGCAAGAAGCGACAACCUGCUGGAACCGCCCGGCUCCAUAAGAACGUCCUCGUUCCAAAGAGAUAAAACUCAACCCAGGACAGGAACACCCUCGCUGACACACUUACCGCUCUCGCCCACACCCUCUCUCUCUCUCUCUUAGUGAGGCCCACGGGCCACGGAGCGCCGUGACUGAUAUGCGUUCCGACAUGUCAAACGGGGAGGCGGCGGGGCGCUGCCCGUGGCAACCGGGAGGAACAUGCUAAUAGCGAGGUGCAUUAGUGCACUCACAGACGGGCCCGCUAAUCAGAGCGGACGUUUGGCCCGUUAUGACUCUCCGGCGGCGAGAGUGGCUCCUCCAUCACUCUCGGCGUGUGCACCGUCACCAGCUGCAACUCUUCCGCAGUACGUCGGCCGCCUCCACCUUCGAGCCUGGCCGUGCAAACCCGCAAGAGCUGCCGUCGACCAUUCAAAGGAAAGCUGUGAUUAGGAGUGUCUGGAUGGAAAAAGAUACGUGGGCGUUAAUGUUUUUAGUCCUGACAUGUCGUUGCUUCAUCGAAUAAUUACAGAUCAACUAUUUACACACCCUCCAGACACAAGGUGACCAUUUUUAUAUCACAACCGUGUUCUUUAACAUUGUAAAACCAGCGCUAUCUCACCGUGUGGAUCUCUGAACCUCUGAAUGUCUUAUGAAAUAGAAAAAUGUCUCCUCUAAAUGAGCAAAACUGAACUCAUGCUGAAAUCUUUUAAAUGGAUAUUUUUGCAUCGAGCCCCUCCCCCCGCACUCAAUUCCAUUAGAUGACCACCAUGCAUGUGCCAGCAUAUUGCGCUAAUAAAAGCCAUUAAUAUUAAAUAUACUAUAAUAUACACAUCCUACAUACUUAAUGUUGCCUCCGUCCCUGUCAAUGUACAGUUGAUGUCUUAGACAGAAUAUUAAAACCGACACCACAAGCAUGAUAGUGAUCAGUGAAGAGAGAAAUAUUAUUAUGACUAACUAAGACGGUCAAUCGGGUUUGGACAUCUUAGUUACUUUUAUGUGUUUGUGACAUAGUUUUGAAGCCUCAACAUUCUCAUUUAGGCCGCUGCAACCUUGUUUUUUCUUUUUUUGGACGUCUCAUCUUUUGCCGUCUUGGUCUUGCUCAUUCUAAGGGAAUGAAAACACAGUGUGUUUUUUUGCUCCGCCCUAAAGCAUUCCCUGCGUCAUGCUCCUUUUUGACUCUACAUACACCAUUUACUAAAUGAACCUCAUGCUGUAUUCAAGAAGACUUGAAAAGCACAGAUCC